rnacentral:rRNA from 1 species
UACAGAGGUCUCAAGCGUUGUUCGGAUUCAUUGGGCGUAAAGGGUGCGUAGGCGGCGCGGUAAGUCGGGUGUGAAAUUUCGAGGCUUAACUUCGAAACUGCAUUCGAUACUGCCGUGCUAGAGGACUGGAGAGGAGACUGGAAUUUACGGUGUAGCGGUGAAAUGCGUAGAGAUCGUAAGGAAGACCAGUGGCGAAGGCGGGUCUCUGGACAGUUCCUGACGCUGAGGCACGAAGGCCAGGGGAGCAAACGGG